CAGGAACGCUGGCGGCGUGCCUAAUACAUGCAAGUCGAGCGCAGGAAACUGACGGAACUCUUCGGAGGGAAGGCAGUGGAAUGAGCGGCGGACGGGUGAGUAACACGUAAGGAACCUGCCUCAAGGAUUGGGAUAACUCCGAGAAAUCGGAGCUAAUACCGGAUAGUUCAACGGACCGCAUGGUCCGCUGAUGAAAGGCGCUCCGGCGUCACCUUGAGAUGGCCUUGCGGUGCAUUAGCUAGUUGGUGGGGUAACGGCCCACCAAGGCGACGAUGCAGAGCCGACCUGGGAGGGUGAUCGGCCACACUGGGACUGAGACACGGCCCAGACUCCUACGGGAGGCAGCAGUAGGGAAUCUUCCACAAUGGACGAAAGUCUGAUGGAGCAACGCCGCGUGAGUGAUGAAGGUUUUCGGAUCGUAAAACUCUGUUGUAAGGGAAGAACACGUACGAGAGGAAAUGCUCGUACCUUGACGGUACCUUACGAGAAAGCCACGGCUAACUACGUGCCAGCCGCCGCCGUAAAAC
rnacentral:rRNA from 1 species